rnacentral:rRNA from 1 species
CCACCUGUAAGGGGAUGGAUAUUGGUUUUGACUUUUGAGUCGGUUUGACCACGCACGUCUGUUCCCUGCCCUCUCGAGCCUGCUCAACCUAUCCGCCGCUUCCCUGAAUCCCGAUCCCCUCCUGUGUGCCCGCCGCUGCGAGCGUCCACCAUCACGAGCGCCCCCGAACCCUCCAUGCGCCGUAGCCCUGCCUCCGCCUUCCGCCGUGUCGCCGUCACCGGCAUCGCGCCCGCCUCCUCUGUGACCCCGUGUAGCACCCCAGCUCCCCGUCCACCUUCGCUCCUCCCUGCCCCCGCCCCCCUGCGCCAUUGUGCCGAUUGUUGAGCCCCGCCUCUGCGGGUCGGUGUUGGUGUCGGGGAUCCGUUCUGCACGCUGCUUGUUCGCCUUGGUUCGGUGUCGGGGAAGGAUUUUUCCUUAACCUCCUCUGCACCGCCACUAAUCCACUACCACGCCACCUGACCCAUCUCUCUCUGUGUCCAUGGUGAGGUAAUGGUCGACGGUGGCGACGCGAGUGGCCUAAGCAGGCAGCGCGGAAGCUGACGAGGACGUGCUGCGGCAGUGCGCUGGACGGGGACGUCUAGUGCCUCCAGCGCUCGAGGAAUAUCAAGGGCCUCAAGGCGUUGUACAAGCUGUUUAACAAGAUAAUCAGUGCCAUAAGGGAUGACAAGCUGAUUAUUAAGGAGGAGUUUCAGUUGGAGCUGUUUAAGGCAGCAGGAGGAUAGCAUGUUCACUGACCGUUGAUACAAUUGUGUAUUCAAUGGAGCCUCACCAAAUGUGCAGCUGGUCCUUAAGCGAACAAUGGAGGAAGGACAUCUCUGAAUUUUGGUGGGAGCUAGGAGGUUGGUUCAGGUUGAAGUUGCUGUCAACUAAGAAUUAGCAGAUGGAGUGGCAAGUUCUCAUCUUGUGAUGGUGACGAUGAGUACCAGAAGUUUGGGGAACACUGCAUCGUACAAUUCGCGGAACAAUCCAUUUUAUACAUCUUUGAAUGACAGUCAAUUUUGUCAAUCUUACCUAUAGAGUGCCAUAGUCCAUGGGAGAUCACAGCGAGUACGUGUACUGGUUGCUCGAGAUCGAGGAAGAUGAGCAGAGAAUUGGCAUUCUUUAUGGAGGCAAACAGCCGCCGAGAGCGUCCUCUGCAACUCAAAUUCAGGCAAUACAUUUGUCGUGUCAAGUUAUAUUGGAAGAGGUGGUAGAGCAUCUAGGAGGGCUGCCACCCAUUUACAAUUCGAGCCAACGAUACGGAGAAUGGCAAGCGUGCACGGCUGCGCGUAUACCCAAUCUUAUUGAAUCGUAUUGAACCUGGCAGAUUAGAUGAAGCAUCUAUAUAUAGCCAGAGACCUUCAACCACUCCUAAAGCUGCUGAAGAGAAAACAACAGAGAGCCUCAUAGCUUCUUUGUGCAGCAAAAAGGAAUUUGAGAUCAAUGAUAUACACGCUACAUGUACAGCAACAUGACAUAGUUGCAUCUGCAAGAAAAUAGAUCCUCAAAGGAAAGGGAAAAUGUGACGAUGAGUACCAGAACUAUAUCACACCAAUGGUGCCGACGUACCUCCCUCAUACGCGGUCUCCGACAUCAUCUUGCACUAUCUCAAGCAGUGUUGCUAGGAAGGAGCUGAAUGGAAGUGAAUUAGCUUUUCACUUCUUGCCGUGUAUUGCUACUAUGAUUUUCACCUUUUUGCUAGCUGUUGGUUGGUCUGUAAAAACGGGCGCGGCAAGGCGCGCGUCAUGCUCUAUGAAUACAAUUGAGCUCUCCAACUUGGUAUCAGACACCAGGCGCAUCAUGGCCACCAACUCCUCCUCCAACGCCACCACGAGCUCCGCCACCUCCCCCGGAUCCCUUUCUUCCUCCUCGACAGCGCCUGCUACGGCCACCGCGCCGGCCCCCUUCCUCUUCGGCACCUCUCCCUCUCUUCUCAGCGGCUCUUCCCCCGCCGACUCGGGCUCUCAAUUCGCCCCUCUGUUCACCUCCGGCGUCACCACCGCCCUGCCGGCACCCGCCCCGCGCCUCCCUAUCUUCCAAGAUCACAUCACCAACCACAUAAAAUUCCUUCUUAACCCCGCCGAUCACAACUAUCACAAAUGGAAGACUUUCUUCCUCAUGGUUCUCGUCCGAUACGACGUCUCCUUCCUCAUCGACCAGCCGCCGCCACCCAACGCCUCCUCCACCUACCUCGAGCUCGACGCUCACGUCGUCCUAUGGAUCUAUGCCACCCUCUCGGACACCAUGUACGACGUGCGAGGAUCAUGGGCACAUGCCCUACAAAUCCGAAAAUGCCUAUAA